rnacentral:rRNA from 1 species
GACGAACCGUGCGAACGUUGUUCGGAAUCACUGGGCUUAAAGGGCGCGUAGGCGGCUCGCGAGGUCGGGGGUGAAAUCCCGCAGCUUAACUGCGGAAGGGCCUCCGAUACCGGCGGGCUGGAGGAAGGUAGGGGUGCGCGGAACUUCUGGUGGAGCGGUGAAAUGCGUUGAUAUCAGAAGGAACGCCGGCGGCGAAAGCGGCGCACUGAACCUUUUCCGACGCUGAGGUGCGAAAGCGAU